GCACAUUUUAUCUAGCUGCAGCAUAGAGGAUUGUGGCUCCUCUGACGGGGGUUCAAUUCCCCCUUCGGGCCCCA
rnacentral:tRNA from 1 species